rnacentral:lncRNA from 1 species
CUCGGUUAAACAUCGCAGCAGGCAUUACAAUACCAGAGGUAACGAAUCAAUUAAAUCCAUUUUCCCCUCGGCGUCUCCAAAGCUGCGUGCCUAGUGUUGCUGUGUAGUUUAGAACCGGAGCAGUAGGACCCAGGGGCCUCCGCAGCCACCAAUAGAAGCGCACACUUGGACCUAUUUGUAUGCAAUGCCUUCUGCUCUGCGCAUUAAUAGUAAUACAGAUAACGGGUUUGAAAGAAUUCUCUACCGAAGAAGGAUUGAAUUUUUCCAGGGUGCUGAUACCGAGAAGAAACCCGACUUCACUCUCUCCCCAUUUUCCCACUCUUAGGUUGAAAAGUCUCAGACACCUUUCGCUUGGUUUAAACUCGGAAAGGUCUCAGUGCACAGCAAAGUUGGAGGGGCUGCGUCUGCACUACGGCGCCGCUAGAUCGCUGAAAACAGGCUUAUCCAAGGAGGGAAGAGAAUGAUCACAGCAACACACUCUAAAAGCAGGGACAUUCUGGAGGUGACUACUUCACUUGCUGUAUACUUCGAUGGUUGUUAAUUCCAGGAAUGGCCAGCCAAAGAGGUUUGCUAAACAACUGUUGUGUUUCUCUAAUUUUCUCUCAUUCUUGUGUUCUCUCACUCUCUUUUCUCCUUACCACUCUACACUUCUCCCUCUCAACUUGUGUCAAGACAGACCAGCUUCAUAUUUAACUUCUGUUCGACCAAACCCAUGUUCAGGCAUUUUUUAUUCUAUUUUUGUGAUCAGUCUAAGAUAAAUGUAACUCAUCAGAGGCAACACUUAUUAGAACAGUGAUGUUAUUGAUGUGUACUUCCAUCUUACAUUUCUUGAGUGAUGAUAUUGUUCAGAAAGAUGUGUCUGUAACUGAAUUCACUUUAGCUAGGAUGACCAGACAUCAUGCGUCCCACUAAUUUUCAUCAGAAUGAUGAAAUGAACAAUAUGAUUGAAGGUCAAGUGGGCCUAGAAUUCAUCUGCCUGAGCUGGUGUAAGCACAGCAUUUUGAAAAUUGCUUUUGUUUGAAAAUUGCUUUCUUUCUGUCUUGGUGUACAUGAGUACACUUUUAAGGAAUCAUCUUCUUGAAUUUGAACAUUCAUUUGGAAAAAUAAUGCAUGAUGUAGACAGUUUUAAUUUUAGCCAUAAAAUAAGAAAAAAAUAAAAUUCGGAUAGACUGUAUUUCAUUACUUUUCAUUAGAUCAUCUUUUUAAAAUGUCUUUAUUAUUUAA